CCCCUAGUAACUGCGAGUGAAGCGGGAAAAGCUCAAAUUUUAAAUCUGGCGGUCUUCGUGACCGUCCGAGUUGUAAUCUAGAGAAGCGUCUUCCGCGCUGGACCGUGUACAAGUCUCCUGGAAGGGAGCGUCAUAGAGGGUGAGAAUCCCGUCUUUGACACGGACCCCCAAGUGCUAUGUGAUGCGCUCUCGAAGAGUCGAGUUGUUUGGGAAUGCAGCUCAAAAUGGGUGGUAAAUUCCAUCUAAAGCUAAAUACAGGUGAGAGACCGAUAGCGAACAAGUACCGUGAGGGAAAGAUGAAAAGAACUUUGGAAAGAGAGUUAAACAGUACGUGAAAUUGCUGAAAGGGAAACGCUUGAUGUCAGUCGCGUCCGCCAGGGAUCAACCUCGCUUCAUUGCUGGGCGUAUUUCUUGGUCGGACGGGUCAGCAUCAGUUUCCAUCGUCGUACAAUGGCGGAGGGAACGUGGCACCUCUAGGGGUGUGUUAUAGCCUUUCGUCGUAUGCGUCGGUAGGGACUGAGGAACUCGGCACGACCUUUCUCAGGUCUGUGUCUAGGAUGCUGGCAUAAUGGCCUUAAGCGACCCGUCUUGAAACACGGACCAAGGAGUCUAACAUGCCUGCGAGUGUUCGGGUGGUAAAACUCGAGCGCGCAAUCAAAGUGAAAGUCGA
rnacentral:rRNA from 1 species